AUAUGGGCGGCCUCAAAGUGAUCGCGAAGGAACAAUAAGAAGAUGCGAAUUCUCUGCACGAACGACGACGGCAUUCACGCGCCGGGCCUCAAGGUCAUCGAAGAAAUCGCGCAGCAACUGUCCGACGNNNNNNNNGUUGCGCCUGAGCUCGAUCAGUCCGGCGUCUCGCACUCACUGUCGCUGAACGAUCCGCUGCGUUUGCGCGAAGUCGGCCCGCGCCACUUCGCGGUGCGCGGCACGCCGACCGACUGCAUCAUCAU
rnacentral:misc_RNA from 1 species